GAUGAGGUGGCCGAGUGGUUAAGGCGAUGGACUGCUAAUCCAUUGUGCUCUGCCUGCGUGGGUCCGAAUCCCAUCUUCGUUG
rnacentral:tRNA from 1 species